rnacentral:rRNA from 1 species
GACGAACGCUGGCGGCGUGCUUAACACAUGCAAGUCGAACGGAAAGGCCCUGCUUUUGUGGGGUGCUCGAGUGGCGAACGGGUGAGUAACACGUGAGUAACCUGCCCUUGACUUUGGGAUAACUUCAGGAAACUGGGGCUAAUACCGGAUAGGAGCUCCUGCUGCAUGGUGGGGGUUGGAAAGUUUCGGCGGUUGGGGAUGGACUCGCGGCUUAUCAGCUUGUUUGUGUGGUAGUUGCUUACCAAGGCUUUGACGGGUAGCCGGCCUGAGAGGGUGACCGGGCACAUUGGGACUGAGAGACGGCCCAGACGCCUACGGGAGGCAGCAGUGGGGAGUAUUGCACAAUGGGCGGAAGCCUGAUGCAGCAACGCCGCGUGCGGGAUGACGGCUUUUGGGGUGUAAACCGCUUUGGACUGUGACGAAGAGUGAGUGACGGUAAUGGGUAAAGAAGCACCGGCUAACUACGUG